UACGGAGGGUGCAAGCGUUAUCCGGAUUCACUGGGUUUAAAGGGUGCGUAGGAGGGCAGGUAAGUCAGUGGUGAAAAUCUUCGAGCUUAACUCGGAAACUGCCGUUGAUACUAUCUGUCUUGAAUACCGUGGAGAUGAGCGGAAUAUGUCAUGUAGCGGUGAAAUGCUUAGAUAUGACAUAGAACACCAAUUGCGAAGGCAGCUCGUUACACGAAUAUUGACUCUGAGGCACGAAAGCGUGGGGAUCAAACAGG
rnacentral:rRNA from 1 species